UACAGAGGUCUCAAGCGUUUGUUCGGAUUCAUUGGGCGUAAAGGGCGCGUAGGCUGCGGGGCAAGUCGGGUGUGAAAAUCUCAGAGCUCAACUCUGAAACUGCACUCGAUACUGCUUUGCUCGAGGACUGGAGAGGAGAUUUGGAAUUCACGGUGUAGCAGUGAAAUGCGUAGAUAUCGUGAGGAAGACCAGUGGCGAAGGCGGAUCUCUGGACAGUUCCUGACGGCUGAGGCGCGAAGGCCAGGGGAGCAAACGGG
rnacentral:rRNA from 1 species